AAAAGGACAUGGAUUAGAAGUAAAGGCAUUCUGUGUUCCAGUAGGAAUAUGCAUUGAGAAAAUAAGUAGCGAGAGAAGAUAAUUUGAUAGAAGUGACUGCAAUAAAGAGAAGAGAGACAGAUGUGGCUUUAAAGAAUUGAUGCAAGGCGUACAAAAGAUCUGAGGAUAUUCUGGGACAGAAAGGAAAUGCGAGUGGAAUGAGAAAGCUUGAAAACGGGUGAAAUAGAGGAGUGAAUGAGACUGGCGGCCCCAGAGGCAAUAGAAGUCAUUUAUUCUAAUGGAUAACGGCGAUGUGAUUAGUCUGAAAACAGUCUUCACUAGAACACUGGAAUCUUCCCUAGAAACAGAAGAAAAAAAGGGCAGGUAAAAGACAGUUUAAUGAUACAGGAAGAUUUUUCAGGGAAGAAAACAACUUAGGUAUAAAAGAGGAGGAGAUUGAAGAAUUAAAUUCUUACUGAAGAAGAAGGUUUUGAACAUCUGGCAAAUAAAUAAAUGUAAGAAAUUUUUAAA
rnacentral:lncRNA from 1 species